rnacentral:lncRNA from 1 species
AGAGCUCGUGGCACCCUGUUCCUGCCUCUUGGAGGAGCACAAGCCAAAAAAGAUCACUACCCACACUUGGGAUUACAUAGGCAGCGGCAAAACCUACACAGACAGCUCUCGCCUCAAGAAACACCGCAAACCUACACAGAUGAGAAACCUUACCACUGGGCCUGAGAUGGCCGUGAGUGGAAAUCUGUCCUCUCAGAUGAACUGACCAGGCACUAUUGCCAACACACAGGGAACAGCCCGUUCCAGUGCCAGAAGUACAACCCUGCAUUUUCCAGGUCAGACUGCCUUGCCUUCCACAUGAAGCACUUUUAAAUCACAAACAGUGGAUAUGACCCAUGCCGCCAGAAGAGAAUUCAGUAGCUUUUUUUUUUACCUUUCACACUGUCUCCCCUAAUACGAUAUAAGCAUGAAGAUCACCUUGUAUUCUCUUUGCCUUCUAAAAAUCAUUAUUAUGAUGUUACAAGAAGAAAUUCAGAUACA